rnacentral:lncRNA from 1 species
GUGGAUGCUCGGUUCGGUCUGUUUGGAGAUAGUGCUAAUCUUGAUACAAGAUAGGUGCACGGUUUGCAUGGAACAUACCAAAUACUUGAAAAUCAAUCUAGACGCACAUGAUGGAACUCCUAGAUGACGUGUGUCAUACGAAAUCUUGCUUCGGUCUGUUUGGAGACAAUGUUAGUUUCGGUGCAAGAUAGGUGCAAGGUUUGCACAUAAUGCAGCCUAGGCUAAGAAACCAUUUUGGACGCACCCGAUGGUACUCCUAGGUUAAAGGCUCAAGUGAAAGCUCGGUUCGGCCUGUUUAGAGAUAGUGCUAAUAUUGAUACAAGAUAGGUGCACGAUUUACAUGGAACAUACCAUAUGCUCGAAAAUCAAUUUGGACGCACCAGAUGGAAC